rnacentral:lncRNA from 1 species
AACGAAACGAUAAAAGCAUCAUGUAGAUUUCAAUUCCCAACAAGAUGCAGAUGCUGAACUAAACUCUGAAUUCUUAAGGUUGAAGUAAGAAACUCAAACAUGAGAAUUCGAUUCAUCCAAUUGUCGUGCAUCAACUAAUUACUCUCUAUUCAUUCAUUCAUUCAUUCACCUUGUGUUUCUUCAUUCCAUUCUUUGUUUCUUUUUUGGGGGGUUUUCUGAGAAUAGAAGAAGAAGAAGAUGCAACUUGAUCUGGAAUCAUUGUCCGAAGCUACUUCUGGGGCCAUUGGAUCCCUUGUUAGCACAACCGUUUUGUACCCACUUGAUACUUGUAAAACCAAAUAUCAAGCUGAAGUUCAAGCGCAACAUCAAAG